rnacentral:rRNA from 1 species
UGGUCAUUUAGAGGAAGUAAAAGUCGUAACAAGGUCUCCGUUGGUGAACCAGCGGAGGGAUCAUU